UACAGGGGGUGCAAACGUUGCUCGGAAUCAUUGGGCGUAAAGCGUCUGUAGGUGGCUUUUCAAGUCCGCCGUCAAAUCCCAGGGCUCAACCCUGGACAGGCGGUGGAAACUACCAAGCUGGAGUACGGUAGGGGCAGAGGGAAUUUCCGGUGGAGCGGUGAAAUGCGUAGAGAUCGGAAAGAACACCAACGGCGAAAGCGCUCUGCUGGGCCGACACUGACACUGAGAGACGAAAGCUAGGGGAGCGAAUGGG
rnacentral:rRNA from 1 species